rnacentral:tRNA from 1 species
AUUACUUUGGCAGAAUAGUGUAAUGAAUUUAGAAUUCAUAAAUGUAUAUAUAUUAUACAGGUAAUA